AUGCGUGAUCGGCAAGCGCCUCGAAGGUAUGAGCCGUACAAUGAUCAUGAUCAGAAGGCAGUGCGCCAUCAGCAGGCGCCUCGAAGGUACGAGCCGUACAACGAUCAUGAUCAGCAGGCAAUGCGCCAUCAGCAAGCGCCUCGAAGAUACGAGCCGUACAAUGAUCACGAUCAGAAGGCAAUGCGCGAUCAGCAGGCGCCUCGAAGGUUCAAACCGUUCAAUGAGCAUGAUCAGGGGCGACGGGGAUACCAUGGCGACGAAAGGCAGCAGGAUUAUCGAGCUCAACGUGGCUACGGCGCGCCAAAUUUUCCGACGCAACAGGGUAAUUCUUAUCCUUUAAAGCAGUUCGCCGGGCCACGCCGCAGGGAGGAUGGCUCUUACGGCGGCCGGCGUGUCCCGGCGGAAGAAGCUCAGAACGGCGGGUAUCGUCGGGAGCGUAUUCCGGCGGAAGAAGUUCAGAACGGCGGGUAUCGUCAGUACACGGAGCCGCCUCGUGUACACUUUCGUCCUCCUGCAGCACAGCCUUACUAUCAGCAGAGGGAGCCGCCUCGGGCGCAGUUUCCUUCUCCUGCGGCCGUCAAGGAUGCACUUGCUCGACGCCCGGAAGUCGACCGGGGAUUUGGACCUGUGCAGAAGAAGCAGAAGAGGGACGAUUCGCCCCAAGACGACUGCCUGCCUCUGAAGAAGCAGUGGACCAAGAAGCACCAAGCCCUGGACAUGGACUCGACGCUGAAGAACUGGAUCCCAAGGGCCCGGCGAACCCGGGAAAACUGGUGCGAGUACCACCACAGCGGCAACCACGGCGCAGCCCAGUGCCGUCGACUGAAGCAGCUGAAGCAAAUCAUCCAGAGGGAGCUGGCGGAUGCGAGCAAGGAAGACGACCCACCCAAGGGGCUGCUCCAGGAGGUUAUACAGAUUGAGGGGGAGCCAUUCAAGGCGAUCGCCGACGGCUCCAAUUCCGACUCCAGGUAG
rnacentral:rRNA from 1 species